CUGAACAAGCGGAUGAAUUCAAAGU
rnacentral:sRNA from 1 species